rnacentral:rRNA from 1 species
UACGUAGGGGUCUAGCGUUGUCCGGAAUCAUUGGGCGUAAAGAGCUCGUAGGCGGUUCGGCAAGUCAGAUGUGAAAUCUCCACGCUCAACGUGGAGGGGCCAUUCGAAACUGCCGUGACUGGAGUCCGGUAGGGGAGUGCGGAAUUCCCGGUGUAGCGGUGAAAUGCGCAGAUAUCGGGAGGAACACCAGUGGCGAAGGCGGCACUCUGGGCCGGAACUGACGCUGAGGAGCGAAAGCGUGGGGAGCGAACAGG